GAUGAAGAACGCAGCGAAAUGCGAUAAGUAGUGUGAAUUGCAGAAUUCAGUGAAUCAUCGAAUCUUUGACCGCACAUUGCGCCCCUUGGUAUCCCGAGGGGCAUGCCUGUUCGAGCGUCAUUUCACCACUCAAGCCUGGCUUGGUGUUGGGCGACGUCCCCUUUGGGGACGCGCCUCGAAACGCUCGGCGGCGUGGCACCGGCUUUAAGCGUAGCAGAAUCUUUCGCUUUGGAAGUCGGGGCCCCGUCUGCCGGAAGACCUACUCGCAAGGUUGACCUCGGAUCAGGCAGGGAUACCCGCUGAACUUAAGCAUAUCAAUAAGCGGAGGA
rnacentral:misc_RNA from 1 species